AUGGCUAAUAAUAAUGCUACUGUGUAUGGGACAGAGCAUGGUACAGACAUAAAUAGCAAAUACUCAAAGUGGUAUAAGAAUGAUUUGAAUAUAUAUUUAAGAAAUAUAAUAUGUAAUAGAAUAAUAAAAGGGAAUACAUCUAUUGAUGUUAUAUAUAUUAAAAAUCCACUGAAACAUGUUAGAAAGUAUAAUUUAUAUACUUCCUUUUUUACAGUAUUAUAUAGUGGAUUAAUAUUUAUGUUAAAUGAUGAAAGUGAAUUAAUAAGAUAUAGAAUUAUUGUUAUAUUAUUAAAUUUUAUGAAAAACAAAUCAUUAAAUAUAAGUAAAAAUAUAAAAAGUGUGAUAUGUACCGAAUAUUUUAUUUAUUAUAUAUCUAAUUUUUUUAAUAAUAUAACCUUAAAUAUUUUAACUUUUUGUAUUUAUCAAACGAAAAGUUAUAUUAAAAAUUAUAGUUUAUAUUACAAUCCUAUAAAAUUGUUUGAUCAAGAAAAAUAUAACUUAUAUAUAAACAAUGUAUUAUUAAAUCAUAUGUUUUUGUUUUAUUAUAUGUAUAACAUUAUUCAAAUGAAUAAGAAAAAAUGCUUUUUAUGUUUAAAAUACACGGACGUUGACAGCAAUAUGAAUAAUAUAUGUAAAAAAUGUAGUGUCUAUGAUGAAGGACAGUUGUCUGGUAGCAAUUAUACACUUUGGGAGAACAUAUCUAGGAUAGAUAGUAAGUUGGUUAUUCACAGUAACGGUAGAAGGAUCAAAACUAAUAAUAUAAAUAAAGUAACAAAUGUUGAAAAAUAUGAUAAUUUUGACUAUUACGACUACCAUAGUAAACAAAAAAAACUCGACUUUUACAUUUUUCUCGAUUCCAUGAGUAACCAAAAAAAGGAAAUAUUAGUAUCUAAAGAUAUAACAGUUUCAAAUAUAUAUAUGUUAAAAAAUUGCAAAUACGAUUUAUCUAUAUUAAGAUAUUGGAGGACAUGGAAGAACAUUAUAAAUAAGUUAAAAAUAAAAAGAGAUAGUUGUAAGCAUAAGCAUGGUAAGUUUGUAAAUAAUAUAGAACAGUCAUUUAUUAUAACAUUUUUAUCAUCUAUGAAAAUGAGAUACGUUGAAAAAAUUAAAAAAAGUUUAAAUAUAUAUUUACAACUAUUAUGUUAUAAUACAAAUAUAGAUUUCUUUGAUUGUAAUUUUAUUAUAUGUUUAAAUAAUUUAUUCAAUAAAAUAGUACUACUUUUAAUUAACCUAUAUAUAUUUUUUCAUAAAAAUGUGAUGUUAUAUUAUAACAGUUAUUUUUAUUAUGAAAUAAAAGAUAUACACGAGAAAUGCAUACGAAUUUGCAACAUUUUUGAAUCAACAAAAAAUCAAAUUAACCCAUUUUUGUUGAAAACUUUAAAGUUAUUAUUAGUUCUAUUGUAUGGUAGUAUGUAUAUAAAAAAUAGAAGUUUUUUUUUUGACAUAUACACAUUAUUAUAUUCUUUAAAGUGUUCGAUCUAG
rnacentral:lncRNA from 1 species